GACGAACGCUGGCGGCGUGCUUAACACAUGCAAGUCGAACGGAAAGGCCCUGCUUUUGUGGGGUGCUCGAGUGGCGAACGGGUGAGUAACACGUGAGUAACCUGCCCUUGACUUUGGGAUAACUUCAGGAAACUGGGGCUAAUACCGGAUAGGAGCUCCUGCUGCAUGGUGGGGGUUGGAAAGUUUCGGCGGUUGGGGAUGGACUCGCGGCUUAUCAGCUUGUUGGUGGGGUAGUGGCUUACCAAGGCUUUGACGGGUAGCCGGCAUGAGAGGGUGACCGGCCACAUUGGGACUGAGAUACGGCCCAGACUCCUACGGGAGGCAGCAGUGGGGAAUAUUGCACAAUGGGCGGAAGCCUGAUGCAGCAACGCCGCGUGCGGGAUGACGGCCUUCGGGUUGUAAACCGCUUUCGCCUGUGACGAAGCGUGAGUGACGGUAAUGGGUAAAGAAGCGCCGGUUAACUACGUG
rnacentral:rRNA from 1 species